UUAAUUUGACUCAACACGGGGAAACUUACCAGGUCCAGACAUAGUAAGGAUUGACAGACUGAGAGCUCUUUCUAUUUUUAUUUUUUUGAUUGAAGAUGUAAAUAAUAUAAAUAAAAAAAAAAGGUCGUAGACA
rnacentral:ncRNA from 1 species